GGGCUUGUUUCCACAGCACAUAUACUAAAACUGGAACAAUACAGAAAAGAUUAGCAUGCCCCAGUUCAAGAAUGACAUGCAAAUUUGUAAAGUGUUUCAUAUCUUU
ensembl:snRNA U6 U6 spliceosomal RNA